GCCUUCGUGGUGUAACGGUAGCACACUCGGCGCGUAUUCGAGAGGUCCAGGUUCAAAUCCUGGAGACAGCA
rnacentral:tRNA from 1 species